CCCCUAGACGUUCUGGGCUGCACGCGCGCUACAAUAAUACGCACAGCGAGUAUCACCGAGCUCGAAAGGGCAAGGUAAACAAUAGAAAAGGUACUGUAAUGGUUAUAGAUCCUUGUAAUUAUUGAUCUUCAACGAGGAAUUCCUAGUAAGUAUGUGUCAUCAUCACGCACUGAUUACGUCCCUGCCCUUUGUACACACCGCCCGUCGCUCCCACCGAUUGGGUGAGCCGAUGAAACUCUCGGAUGUAGGCUAUUCAUAGCCCGCAGAAGAGAUUUGAAUCGUAGCGCUUAGAGGAAGGAGAGGUCGUAACA
rnacentral:rRNA from 1 species